UUCGGAUUGUAAACUCCUGUUGUUGAGGAAGAUAAUGACGGUACUCAACAAGGAAGUGACGGCUAACUACGUGCCAGCAGCCGCGGUAAAACGUAGGUCACAAGCGUUGUCCGGAAUUACUGGGUGUAAAGGGAGCGCAGGCGGGAANACAAGUUGGAAGUGAAAUCNAUGGGCUCAACCCAUNAACUGCUUUCAAAACUGUUUUUCUUGAGUAGUGCAGAGGUAGGCGGAAUUCCCGGUGUAGCGGUGGAAUGCGUAGAUAUCGGGAGGAACACCAGUGGCGAAGGCGGCCUACUGGGCACCAACUGACGCUGAGGCUCGAAAGUGUGGGUAGCAAACAGGAUUAGAUACCCUGGUAGUCCACACCGUAAACGAUGAUUACUAGGUGUUGGAGGAUUGACCCCUUCAGUGCCGCAGUUAACACAAUAAGUAAUCCACCUGGGGA
rnacentral:rRNA from 1 species